rnacentral:misc_RNA from 1 species
GAUGAAGAACGUAGCGAACUGCGAUAACUAAUGUGAAUUGCAGAAUUCCGUGAAUCAUCGAGUCUUUGAACGCACAUUGCGCCCCCUGGUAUUCCGGGGGGCAUGCCUGUCCGAGCGUCAUUGCUGCCCAUCAAGCACGGCUUGUGUGUUGGGUCCUCGUCCCCCCCGGGGGACGUGCCCGAAAGGCAGCGGCGGCACCGCGUCCGGUCCUCGAGCGUAUGGGGCUUUGUCACCCGCUCUGCAGGCCCGGCCGGCGCUGGCCGACGCGAAAGCAACCAUUUUUUCUCCAGGUUGACCUCGGAUCAGGUAGGGAUACCCGCUGAACUUAAGCAUAUCAAUAAGCGGAGGA